rnacentral:rRNA from 1 species
AUGCCGUUGGAGUGCAUCCCACCGUCGCAUGCGUACAGCGCUCGGUGGUCGCCGGCGUCGUCCUCUGCUCUUCCUCCAUGGUGGACGCGAAGGGAAGUCGACGGAUCUGGCGCUAGCUGUUUGAAUAAGUGCGCGGCUGCCUCAGAUCGAGCUGAUCCAGUGUCCUCCAUAUAUUCUUCGUGCUAUCUCGGUGGCGGCAGUGGAACCUGCAGGAGAACACGGCGGGGCUCGAAUCCUGGGGGCAUGUUCUCGCUGGAUCCUGGUCGGAUCUGCAAAGGGAUCUCCAACAAGUUGUUGUCUACAACAUCCAUCAUGGUGAUGGAGAAGUGGCGGCACUCACAGGGGAAGAUGGGCACUGCGGAUGGGGUCCAUGAGCAGAGCACACACGGUGGUGGAUUUCGAGAGACUGUGGUGCCCUUCUUGGUUGCUGCCCGGUCUCUGACAACCUGCCGUAUCCUCAGGUCGAAGGGCGACCAUCUUCAUUCCUCCCGGCUAAGAUGCCAAAGGAGAGGCGGUCCUGCUUCAUGGUGGAGUCUAUGGAAUGGAGUCAUGGAGGUUUCGUUGGCCCAAGUGGUGCCGUCCCCGGCGCCGGCGAGGCUGAAUCCAUCGGGGUGCAGAUUGUUCGGACCCGAUUGCAAUCUUCUUCCCUUGUUCGGGGUCUUGUUUGCAUAA